UAGUUGAUGGUUGGAUGCCAAGACGUUGUGUCACAAUUUGACGUUAAAAAACAAAAGAAGCUCUAAUAAAGGCAGUGAAGGCAAGAAUUACAGGAAACCCCGUCCGGAAGCAAAAGUUGUUGGCAAUACAGAUGUCUGUGAAGAGAAGCUCCCUAAAAAAAGUUAUCAAUGAAGACUUUGGACUACACGCUUACCGCAGACAAAAAGGUAAUUUGCUUAAUGGACGAUUAAGACUAUGAGGCUAGAGAGAAGUCGCGUGCUAUUGAAGCGGUACGCACAAAAUGGCCACCGAAAAAUACUAUUUACAGAUGAAAA